GUGCAAUAUUAUUACUGGAUAUCGUGCACGCAGUGUAUAUCACCUCUUCAGCAAGAAGAAACCAUCACCUGUACCUAAAUUCUACUCACCAAUAUCGGCAACACUGAAACCGACCACAUCUCGCAUCUAGAUCCCUAAAAAAAAUGCAUGCUUAUUGUCGGAACCCGAGUAUUAUUAUGGCUCACUCGACGAGAAUGCGUAACGUUAUGUGCGGUGCGGC